UACAGAGGUCUCAAGCGUUGUUCGGAAUCAUUGGGCGUAAAGGGUGCGUAGGCGGCGCGGUAAGUCGGGCGUGAAAUCUCGGAGCUUAACUCCGAAACUGCAUUCGAUACUGCCGUGCUUGAGGACUGGAGAGGAGACUGGAAUUUACGGUGUAGCGGUGAAAUGCGUAGAUAUCGUAAGGAAGACCAGUGGCGAAGGCGGGUCUCUGGACAGUUCCUGACGCUGAGGCACGAAGGCCAGGGGAGCAAACGGG
rnacentral:rRNA from 1 species